rnacentral:rRNA from 1 species
UGGGGAAUAUUGCACAAUGGGCGAAAGCCUGAUGCAGCAACGCCGCGUGAGUGAUGACGGCCUUCGGGUUGUAAAGCUCUGUCUUUGGGGACGACAAUGACGGUACCCAAGGAGGAAGCCACGGCUAACUACGUGCCAGCAGCCGCGGUAAUACGUAGGUGGCAAGCGUUGUCCGGAUUUACUGGGCGUAAAGGGUGCGUAGGCGGACCUUUAAGUGAGAUGUGAAAUCCCCGAGCUUAACUUGGGGGCUGCAUUUCAAACUGGAGGUCUAGAGUGCAGGAGAGGAGAGUGGAAUUCCUAGUGUAGCGGUGAAAUGCGUAGAGAUUAGGAAGAACACCAGUGGAGAAGGCGACUCUCUGGACUGUAACUGACGCUGAGGCACGAAAGCGUGGGGAGCAAACAG